CCCCCUCAUUCAUUCCUUAUUUCUGCAAAUAGGUACGUCUGGUCUUCUGCUUCCUCCUCCUCCUCCAAAUCUAUCCAUCUAUCUCACAGAUUGCUACUUCAAUACAAAACAAUACAAUGGAGCAGCACCAAACCAUGAUCAGUAUCCUUGCACAAGAGCGUCUACUGGGUGCCAUAUUGGGGGCUGCAUUUGCGGGUUUCCUUGUUUUUGAGCUACGAAAAAGCAUCUAUCAACCCAUUUCACCUAAAAACAAGGAAAGAUGAAACCCUGUCUAUCUAUCUAUCUAUUUCUUUAUCUAUUUUUCAACGAAUAGGUUACAUUUGCAAAAAACGAGAGAGUUACCUAAGGCUAAGAAUAGAAGAGGUUAGGCAUGCAAUUUCUUAUUGUAAGACCACCCUCUAGAUUUGUCUAAUGCUGAUAUCACAAAGUUGCUUGCUUGGUAAUACAAUACCAAAGCCAAAAAGAGACUUCCGAUUGGAUUGGAUUACAGAAUGUUUCUUUUAAAGAAACUUCUAGUAUAUAGUCGAUAAGAUCGAUCGUAAUGAUCUGUUACAACUGCAUUUCUAUUAUAAAACAUAUUGUUGUGAUCAAAAUUCUGAGUUUCAGUUUUAUGAUGCACAAGACUUGUAAUAUGGUCCCCUUUGGUUGAUACUUUAGUGCGCUGCUGGGCGGCCAAGGGUUGUUCUUACUCGUUUAGAUACAGGAUGGAUAUUGUAUGACCUGAUAAGAUAACUAUGCUUCUGUGUGUAUGGUGUUUCGCUCCUUGUCAAGUGAGAUACUAGGGGAUUCAGGUUGUUGACAUUAAAAUCUAGCCUUUCUGCUACAUAUGGUGUUUGAAAGCAUUUAUACUCCCUCUUUCAUCAUCAAUAGACACCAUUUGUACGCAUAGCCAUUUAUUCAAGAUUUUUUCUCCA